UACAGAGGGUGCAAGCGUUGUUCGGAAUCAUUGGGCGUAAAGCGCACGUAGGCGGAUUUGUAAGUCAGGGGUGAAAUCCCGGGGCUCAACCUCGGAACUGCCUUUGAUACUGCAAAUCUCGAGUCCGAUAGAGGUGGGUGGAAUUCCUAGUGUAGAGGUGAAAUUCGUAGAUAUUAGGAAGAACACCGGUGGCGAAGGCGGCCCACUGGAUCGGUACUGACGCUGAGGUGCGAAAGCGUGGGGAGCAAACAGG
rnacentral:rRNA from 1 species